rnacentral:rRNA from 1 species
UACGGAGGGUGCAAGCGUUGUUCGGAAUUAUUGGGCGUAAAGGGCAGGUAGGUGGUCUUGUAAGUCUGCUAUGAAAUCCCCGAGCUUAACUUGGGAAGUGCGGCAGAUACUGCAAGACUAGAGUGCUGGAGGGGUACGUGGAAUUCCCGGGUGUAGCGGUGAAAUGCGUAGAUAUCGGGAGGAACACCAGAGGCGAAGGCGGCGUACUGGACAGCAACUGACACUCAACUGCGAAAGCGUGGGGAGCAAACAGG